CCUGUCCCUAGAGGCAUUGCAGAGGUGGCUGCCGUGUGACAAGUGUGUCAAAAGGUAGCAAGGAGGAGAGAGGCCGUGUCUACACUCAAGCGUUCUGACCUGGGAUCAUCUGAAUGGUUAGCAGCCUCACAUU
ensembl:snoRNA